rnacentral:rRNA from 1 species
UACGGAGGAUGCAAGCGUUAUCCGGAAUGAUUGGGCGUAAAGCGUCCGCAGGUGGCGAUGUAAGUCUGCUGUUAAAGAGUCUAGCUCAACUAGAUAAGAGCAGUGGAAACUACAUAGCUAGAGUACGUUCGGGGCAGAGGGAAUUCCUGGUGUAGCGGUGAAAUGCGUAGAUAUCAGGAGGAACACCCGUGGCGAAGGCGGCUCUCUGGGUCGGACCUGACGCUGAGGCGCGAAAGCGUGGGGAGCGAACGGG